UAUUUAAAUUUAUUUAAUUACUUAAAUAUAAAUAAAAUUUUAAUUUAAAAAUUUAAAAAUUUAAAUAAUUUUUAAAUGUAUAUUUUAAUAUUUAGUAUGAUUUAUUUAAAUGAAAAUUUACAUUAGAAAGUUAUUUUAAAUUAUUAAUUAAAAAAGUGCCAGCAAUUGCGGUUAAACUUUUGAUGAAAAUAAAUUUUUAAUAAUUUAAUAAAUAAUUAUAAUAUAUUUAAAAAUUGAAAUUUUAAAAAAUUUUUUAUGGUGAAAUAUUAAUAAGAUUUAGUUAAUUUUAAAAUAUAAUUUAAUUAAUUUAUAUAAAUUUUAUAAAAAAAGUAGGAUUAGAUACCCUAUUAUUAUAAUGAAAAUUUUUAAAUUAAAUAUUAAAUGUUUAAUCAUUAAAAAUAAAAAAUUUGGCGGUAUUUUAUUAAAUUAGAGGAAUUUGUUAAUUAAUUUGAUAUUCCACGAAUAGAAAUACUUAAUAAAAAUUUUAUAUAUUGUUGUUGUUAAAUAAUAUUAUUAAAUUUUAUUAAAAAAUUUAUUUAAAAUAAUAAUUCAAAUCAAAAUGUAGAAUAAUUAAGAUAAUAAUGAAUUACAAUUAAUUUUAUUAAUGAAAUUAAAAUUUUAAUAUGUUAAGGAAAAUGGAUUUAAAUGUAAAUUUAUAUAAAUUUAUAAAUUGAAUUUUACUUAAAAUAUGUACAAAUUGCCCGUCAUUUUCAUUUAAAUUAUGAAAAAAGUCGUAACAAAGUAAGUAUACUGGAAAGUGUACUUAGAAUUUU
rnacentral:ncRNA from 1 species